rnacentral:sRNA from 1 species
GAGUGACCGGUGAGCGGGCCGGGGUGGGAUGCGCUGUGGCGGCUGAGGCGCCCUCGCCCGACUCCGGCGCUGUCCUAGGCGAGGGGUGGUGAGGCCCGGAGGUGGACUGUUCCUUGCUCGGGGGCUCGCAGCGAAUCUGCCGGCGACAGAGCUCCAGUCCACAUGCGCCCCCGUCUGACAGCACCUCUUCUGUCCCCUGCCAGGGACUUGUGGGCUCCUGCGGCCGACACUCAUGAAGGCCACAUCACCAGCGACUUGCAGCUCUCUACCUACUUAGAUCCCGCCCUGGAGCUGGGUCCCAGGAAUGUGCUGCUGUUCCUGCAGGACAAGCUGAGCAUUGAGGAUUUCACAGCAUAUGGCGGUGUGUUUGGAAACAAGCAGGACAGCGCCUUUUCUAACCUAGAGAAUGCCCUGGACCUGGCCCCCUCCUCACUGGUGCUUCCUGCCGUCGACUGGUAUGCAGUCAGCACUCUGACCACUUACCUGCAGGAGAAGCUCGGGGCCAGCCCCUUGCAUGUGGACCUGGCCACCCUGCGGGAGCUGAAGCUCAACGCCAGCCUCCCUGCUCUGCUGCUCAUUCGCCUGCCCUACACAGCCAGCUCUGGUCUGAUGGCACCCAGGGAGGUCCUCACAGGCAACGAUGAGGUCAUCGGGCAGGUCCUGAGCACACUCAAGUCCGAAGAUGUCCCAUACACAGCGGCCCUCACAGCGGUCCGCCCUUCCAGGGUGGCCCGUGAUGUAGCCGUGGUGGCCGGAGGGCUAGGUCGCCAGCUGCUACAAAAACAGCCAGUAUCACCUGUGAUCCAUCCUCCUGUGAGUUACAAUGACACCGCUCCCCGGAUCCUGUUCUGGGCCCAAAACUUCUCUGUGGCGUACAAGGACCAGUGGGAGGACCUGACUCCCCUCACCUUUGGGGUGCAGGAACUCAACCUGACUGGCUCCUUCUGGAAUGACUCCUUUGCCAGGCUCUCACUGACCUAUGAACGACUCUUUGGUACCACAGUGACAUUCAAGUUCAUUCUGGCCAACCGCCUCUACCCAGUGUCUGCCCGGCACUGGUUUACCAUGGAGCACCUCGAAGUCCACAGCAAUGGCUCCGUCGCCUACUUCAAUGCUUCCCAGGUCACAGGGCCCAGCAUCUACUCCUUCCACUGCGAGUAUGUCAGCAGCCUGAGCAAGAAGGGUAGUCUCCUCGUGGCCCGCACGCAGCCCUCCCCCUGGCAGAUGAUGCUUCAGGACUUCCAGAUCCAGGCUUUCAACGUAACGGGGGAGCAGUUCUCCUACGCCAGCGACUGUGCCAGCUUCUUCUCCCCCGGCAUCUGGAUGGGGCUGCUCACCUCCCUGUUCAUGCUCUUCAUCUUCACCUAUGGCCUGCACAUGAUCCUCAGCCUCAAGACCAUGGAUCGCUUUGAUGACCACAAGGGCCCCACUAUUUCUUUGACCCAGAUUGUGUGACCCUGUGCCAGUGGGGGGGUUGAGGGUGGGACGGUGUCCGUGUUGUUGCUUUCCCACCCUGCAGCGCACUGGACUGAAGAGCUUCCCUCUUCCUACUGCAGCAUGAACUCCAAGCUCCCCUCAGCCCAUCUUGCUCCCUCUUCAGCCCGCUGAGGAGCUUUUUUGGGCUGCCCCCAUCUCUCCCAACAAGGUGUACAUAUUCUGCGUAGAUGCUAGACCAACCAGCUUCCCAGGCUUCGUCGCUGUGAGGCGUAAGGGACAUGAAUUCUAGGGUCUCCUUUCUCCUUAUUUAUUCUUGUGUCUACAUCAUCCCUGGCUGUGGAUAGUGCUUUUGUGUAGCAAAUGCUCCCUCUUUAAGGUUAUAGGGCUCCCUGAGUUUGGGGGUGUAGAAGUACUACUUAACUGUCUGUCCUGCUUGGCUGUCGUUAUCGUUUUCUGGUGAUGUUGUGCUAACAAUAAGCAGUACACGGGUUUAUUUCUGUGGCCUGAGAAGGAAGGGACCUCCACGACAGGUGGGCUGGGUGCGAUCGCCGGCUGUUUGGCAUGUUCCCACCGGGAGUGCCUGGCAGGAGCAUGGGGUGCUUGGUUGUUUCCUUCCUAAUAAAAUAAACGCGGAUCGCCAUG